rnacentral:rRNA from 1 species
CGAUCAUACCAGCACUAAUGCACCGGAUCCCAUCAUAACUCUGCAGUUAAGCGUGCUUAGGCGAGAGUAGCACUAGGAUGGGCGGCCUCCUGGGAAGUCCUCGUUAGGUGGUCAUCUAAAUUAUCUUUCCAUCCCCGCAUAACUUUACGGAUGCGAUC